rnacentral:piRNA from 1 species
CCACUAACCACCAUCAACUGUCAAUAAGUC